CUGUGAAUAUUCUUGCUGCUCUGAUUCUGUAAUACGCAGGACAGGCUACACAUUCACUAUAUUAAGACCAUGCCUGUGUCCUCAGACCUAGUUCUUUUUCUAGGUCUGUUUUUUAUUUUUUUUUAUUUUU
rfam:Tupaia chinensis contig220171, whole genome shotgun sequence.